rnacentral:rRNA from 1 species
GAUGAACGCUAGCUACAGGCUUAACACAUGCAAGUCGAGGGGUAACGAGAGGAAAGCUUGCUUUCCUUGUCGACGACCGGCGCACGGGUGAGUAACGCGUAUCCAACCUGCCCCCAACUAGGGAAUAACCUUGCGAAAGUAAGACUAAUACCCUAUAAUUUCCUCAGAUGUCAUCUGACGAGGAAUAAAGAUUUAUCGGUUGGGGAUGGGGAUGCGUCUGAUUAGCUUGGUGGCGGGGUAACGGCCCACCAAGGCAACGAUCAGUAGGGGUUCUGAGAGGAAGGUCCCCACAUUGGAACUGAGACACGGUCCAAACUCCUACGGGAGGCAGCAGUGAGGAAUAUUGGUCAAUGGGCGGAAGCCUGAACCAGCCAAGUAGCGUGCAGGAUGACGGCCCUAUGGGUUGUAAACUGCUUUUAUACAGGAACAAAGUUAGCCACGUGUGGUUAUUUGUAGGUACUGUAUGAAUAAGGACCGGCUAAUUCCGUGCCAGCCGCCGCAGUAA